ensembl:lncRNA
CACCGACCAGUCGACCAGUCGAUCUGCUGAUCUGACUACCGACCGAGACAUCUGCACACCUGAUCCCGCUGGAAGGAGCAUCGCCGCCGACCAGACGAGACCAGAGGACGAGGAAAGCGGAGAGGCGGACAGCCUAGCGCCGACUCGACGCCCUUCGUCUACGGAUCGGACCCUCUGACCCCACGGGAGGAAACAUCGCGCUCCCACAAGGACUUGCGCAGUACAGUGCCCCAGGAAGACAUGCUUCCACACCAGUGACUUGAAACCUGAAAAAGACAGUCCCAGCCAUCAAGACGUCCAACACAGGAGAGGAUGUGGACAAAUUUUGAAGAUUGCUUCCCUGAACACCAGUUGUGCUUUCCCUUUGCCCAUUGGCUCCCCAUCCCAGGCCACACUAUGGACCACAGGAGCCGGACCACCCUGGGGCGCAGCUGACCAGUGCUCCCUGCCUCACCAGUCCUCCACCAAGGUGUGGCAUCUGUUCCUCUUUCAAGAUCAGCUGUUCUAGUUUGUUCUGGUUGCUGUGUGAGCUUUGGAGUCACAGCACUGACUUGGGAAGCCUUCCUAUUAGAAAAGAUAGCAAAUCAGUGAUUACGAAGAUUGUUGCAACGAAAGAAUGAACCGUGACCCAAUGUCCUCCAC